AUUGAACGCUGGCGGCAUGCUUUACACAUGCAAGUCGAACGGCAGCGCGGGCUUCGGCCUGGCGGCGAGUGGCGAACGGGUGAGUAAUGCAUCGGAACGUGCCCAGAAGUGGGGGAAAGCGCGGCGAAAGCCGGAUUAAUACCGCAUACGACCUGAGGGUGAAAGCGGGGGACCGAAAGGCCUCGCGCUAUUGGAGCGGCCGAUGUCGGAUUAGCUAGUUGGUGGGGUAAAGGCUUACCAAGGCGACGAUCCGUAGCUGGUCUGAGAGGACGACCAGCCACACUGGGACUGAGACACGGCCCAGACUCCUACGGGAGGCAGCAGUGGGGACUUUUGGACAAAGGGGGCAACCCUGAUCCAGCCAUGCCGCGUGCGGGAAGAAGGCCUUCGGGUUGUAAACCGCUUUUGUUCGGGAAGAAAUCCUCUGGGCUAAUACCCCGGGGGGAUGACGGUACCGGAAGAAUAAGCACCGGCUAACUACGUG
rnacentral:rRNA from 1 species